rnacentral:rRNA from 1 species
UACGUAGGUGGCAAGCGUUGUCCGGAUUUACUGGGCGUAAAGAGCUCGUAGGCGGUUGGGUAAGUCGGGUGUGAAAACUCCAGGCUCAACUUGGAGACGCCACCCGAUACUGCUCUGACUUGAGUUCGGUAGGGGAGUGGGGAAUUCCUGGUGUAGCGGUGAAAUGCGUAGAUAUCAGGAGGAACACCGGUGGCGAAGGCGCACAUCUGGCCCGAUACUGACGCUGAGGCGCGAAAGCUAGGGGAGCAAACGGG